rnacentral:rRNA from 1 species
UACAGAGGUCUCGAGCGUUAGGCGGAAUCACUGGGCUUAAAGCGUGUGUAGGUGGAUGCCUAAGUACCUUGUGAAAUCCCACGGCUUAACCGUGGAACUGCUUGGUAUACUGGGUGUCUUGAGUCACUCAGGGGCGAGCGGAACAAAUGGUGGAGCGGUGAAAUGCGUAGAUAUCAUUUGGGACGCCAAUGGUGAAAACAGCUCGCUGGGGGUGCACUGACACUGAGACACGAAAGCCAGGGGAGCGAACGGG